GACAGAGGUGCCGAGCGUUAGGCGGAAUCACUGGGCUUAAAGCGUGUGUAGGCGGACCUGUAAGUACCUUGUGAAAUCCCACGGCUCAACCGUGGAACUGCUGGGUAUACUGCGGGUCUUGAGCCACCUAGGGGCGAGCGGAACAAGUGGUGGAGCGGUGAAAUGCGUAGAUAUCACUUGGAACGCCAAUGGUGAAAACAGCUCGCUGGGGGUGUGCUGACGCUGAGACACGAAAGCCAGGGGAGCAAACGGG
rnacentral:rRNA from 1 species